rnacentral:rRNA from 1 species
UGAUANAGCCAUGCCGCGUGAGUGAUGAAGGCCUUUGGGUUGUAAAGCUCUUUCGUCAGGGAUGAUAAUGACUGUACCUGGUUAAGAAAGCCCGGCUAACUCCGUGCCAGCAGCCGCGGUAAU